rnacentral:misc_RNA from 1 species
AUUGUGAUUUGGUGGGCUGGUCUUAUGAGAGGUGCAGUGUCAAUGGCUCUUGCAUAUAACAAGGUAGACUAUAGACAACUCACGAAGUUGGCUUAAUAUUCAUUCACAUAUCAAAGAGAGGUUAUUAAGAUUGAGAUGUCUAGGAAAGAAGUUGCUUUCUGUCCUCAUUGAUUGACACUAAUGAGUAUUAUCAUUUUAUAAUUUCAUGUUAUAUAAACGC